rnacentral:rRNA from 1 species
UGGGAAUUUGGACAAUGGGCGAAAGCCUGAUCCAGCAAUGCCGCGUGUGUGAAGAAGGCCUUCGGGUUGUAAAGCACUUUUGUCCGGAAAGAAAUCCUUGGCUCUAAUACAGUCGGGGGAUGACGGUACCGGAAGAAUAAGCACCGGCUAACUACGUGCCAGCAGCCGCGGUAAUACGUAGGGUGCAAGCGUUAAUCGGAAUUACUGGGCGUAAAGCGUGCGCAGGCGGUUUGCUAAGACCGAUGUGAAAUCCCCGGGCUCAACCUGGGAACUGCAUUGGUGACUGGCAGGCUAGAGUAUGGCAGAGGGGGGUAGAAUUCCACGUGUAGCAGUGAAAUGCGUAGAGAUGUGGAGGAAUACCGAUGGCGAAGGCAGCCCCCUGGGCCAAUACUGACGCUCAUGCACGAAAGCGUGGGGAGCAAACAGGAUUAGAUACCCUGGUAGUCCACGCCCUAAACGAUGUCAACUAGUUGUUGGGGAUUCAUUUCCUUAGUAACGUAGCUAACGCGUGAAGUUGACCGCCUGGGGAGUACGGUCGCAAGAUUAAAACUCAAAGGAAUUGACGGGGUCAUAGCUGUUUCCU